AGCCCUCAGCGUACAUGCCAGCUAAUUACAGAUGCAGGAGCAAACCCCUGGCCCAUACAUCAAUGGAGUUUCGCUCUUGUUGCCCAGGCUGGAGAGCAACGGCACAAUCUCAGCUCACCGCAACCUCCGCCUCCCGAGUUCAAGCAAUUCUCCUGCCUCAGCCUCCUGAGUAGCUGGAAUUACAGGAUUUUGGAAGCAUUGCCUUCUACAGAAUCCACAGUAGUCCGAAGUUCUUCUACGGUUUUUGUCAAACUUUGAUUUUCCAUCUCUAGCUUCAAUAAUCUACUUGAUGUCAACUCAUUCACCUCAUGGCCCAGGGAUUUCUGCGGUGCUAUAAUAUUGAAAAAUACACCAUUGUAUUUACUCUGUACUGUUUUUACUAUGUUUACUCUUUACUAUUUAAAAAGUUGAGUGUAUAUGCAUUGCAUCAUCUGAUCUUUAACUUUAUUAAAAAUUCAAUGGGGUUAUGUAAGAUAAACAAGAUAAGAGAGGUAAAUCUUUUUUUUCCUUUUCUUUUUUUCUUUUUUUAAAGAGACGGGGUGUCUCUCUGUCAUCCAGGUUGGAGUGCAGUGAUGUGUUCCUAGCUCACUGCAGCCUCAAACUCCUGGUCUGAAGGGAUCCUCCCACCUCAGUCUCCCAAGCAGCCGGGACUACAGGUACAGCCAGCUAGUUUUUUUAUUUUUUAGUAAAGACUGGGUCUCUGUUACUUAGGCUGGUCUCGAACUCCUGAGCUCAAGCAAUCCUCCUGCCUUGGCCUCCCAAAGUGCUGGGAUUACCGGCAUGAGCCGCUGCACCCAGCCAAGAGAUACGUUUAACUUUUAAUGCAUCCACAGCAUUCUAGUUAAAAAAAGCAUAAAAUUUAGAUUGAAGAAAUUGGAGUUCAAGCAGACCCAUUAAAUAUUUUGCU
rnacentral:antisense_RNA from 1 species